AGGAUCCUGGGAUCAUGACCUGAGCCAAAGGCAGACUCUUAAUGACUGAGACACCUGGUGCCCGUGGCUCACUCCUCUUCUUAACUGAAAUGUCAGCUUUUCAGAGGAGACUUCCCGGACUAUACCUCAGCUCAAGUAACCCACGCACACUCCUCACUGCCUGGCACAGUUCCUACUUUCUGGAUCCAUCUGGUUGCACGUUCGGAGUCUUUAUAUCUUGGUAAUAGAAAAUCUAAACCAAACUGGCUUAAGGAAGAAAGAAAUGCAUUAUUUGGGUUGUUUUGUGAGCCAAUCACAGAACGCCUGGUGAAAAGUGAUUUAAGCAACAAGGACCUCUUGUGACAAGAUAUCCAGGGGGAGGACUGUUGCAGCUUGGGAUCAGCAAUUUUGCUAAGUCAUCAAGGACCUGGGGUCUUUCUGCCUUGUAAUGUUCAUUUGUUAAUUUUUCCUCAUGUGGCCACAAGAUGGCUGCCUCAUUGUGAAGAACACAGGUGGACAACCUUGGACUACACAGGAGCAUUUCCUUUCAGUGUCUGUUUUUAAUGUGGAGAAAACGUUUCUGAGAAGACCGUCAGUAGACUUCUCCUUAGUCCUUUCACUCAGGAUUGCACCAUAUUCCAUGCCACAGGACCACAGCCCCUGUCUGGUGGCCCCUUUUCCAUGGCCUCAACCUUCAUCGGUUCUGGUAACACUGCUUCUUUGCUCUGACACUUCAGGCCCAGAAAGAGUAAGGUCUUCCCAUGGCUGCUCAUCCCAGGUACCACUGUUUGUUUCCUACUGUUGCAAAUUACCACAAUCCUGGUCUCCACUUUUUGGCUUUGCUUGCUUGUGCUUUUGGAAAACAACAUCUGCAGUAGAACUCAAAAUAUGAAGAAUGAAAUUUAGGCAUUUUCUGAAUAUAAUUCCAUCUGUCUUGGACCCUGUUAAGGAUCUUUUAGAAUAUUUUAGUUUGAGAACCUGUUGUGAACAUCAACUGCCAUGAUGUAGACAUUCAGAAGGGAUCGUAAACAGAGUUUACUAGGAGAAAGACCAUCUUUGUCGUUAAUUUUUGCUUGUGGUUCUUCUGUCUUCCAGAGUGGGAUUGCCCGGGGCCCAUGAACCUCAUCUGAGGCGCCCCGCGAGGGCUCGGGGAAACUGAGGUCCCAGAGCCACAUCUCUCGUCUCCAAUCCCAGAGCGCGCCCCGCUCCAACGCAGCGGCCUCCGCCAACACACAUGCUCCGCUCGCC